rnacentral:rRNA from 1 species
CUCGAGGCCAGAUCUAGAGUUUGAUCCUGGCUGAGAUUGAACGCUGGCGGCAUGCCUUACACAUGCAAGUCGAACGGCAGCAUAGGAGCUUGCUCCUGAUGGCGAGUGGCGAACGGGUGAGUAAUAUAUCGGAACGUGCCCUAGAGUGGGGGAUAACUAGUCGGAAGACUAGCUAAUACCGCAUACGAUCUACGGAUGAAAGUGGGGGAUCGCAAGACCUCAUGCUCCUGGAGCGGCCGAUAUCUGAUUAGCUAGUUGGUGGGGUAAAAGCCUACCAAGGCGACGAUCAGUAGCUGGUCUGAGAGGACGACCAGCCACACUGGGACUGAGACACGGCCCAGACUCCUACGGGAGGCAGCAGUGGGGAAUUUUGGACAAUGGGGGCAACCCUGAUCCAGCAAUGCCGCGUGAGUGAAGAAGGCCUUCGGGUUGUAAAGCUCUUUUGUCAGGGAAGAAACGGUAGUAGCUAAUAUCUAUUACUAAUGACGGUACCUGAAGAAUAAGCACCGGCUAACUACGUGCCAGCAGCCGCGGUAAUACGUAGGGUGCAAGCGUUAAU